CCCCGCCUGCAGGGGCCAGCGGCGGCAGGAGGCCCGAUCUUCCCAUGUUGAUUCCUGAGAGAGUGGCCAAGGCACAUGGGCUCGUGGCCAGGAUUCAUUCAUCCAUUCACUCCGGCAUUUACUGAGCGCCUACAAUGCGUCAGGCACGUGUAAGAUCUCCUGGGCAGCCUGUGUGCAUGGUGGAUGACUACCUCUCCUCCCCAGGGGCUCGAACACCAAAACUCCCUUCUGAAGAGGGCUUUCUGGAUCAUCCCAAUCCCAAUUUCUGGAUCUUCAACGAAUCAAGGAAAGAGAGAAUGAGGAAGGAACAACAGAGAGAGAGAGGCCACCGCUCACACCGCAAACUCACGGGCAGGAUUCCGCACUGCCAGUGACACCACGCCAAGGUUCAAGAGACUUCUAGCGGCACCUCUCUCGGCACCCUGGCUGAUACACCAGGCAGUCAACCAUGUCUCCAUUUUUGCAUUAGCCACUGAAAAUGCUCAGAACUGAUUUUGCAUCUUUCCUACGAGCCACAGGACCUUUGGCCAAGUCACUUAAACUCCAUGAGCCUAAAUCUCCGGGUGGGGUUAAUUACCACCUGUCUCUUAGGGUAGCUGUGGAAAUAAAAUGAAAGAUUAUGAUAUAAU